rnacentral:lncRNA from 1 species
UAGACUUCUUCCUCCUCCUAACUAUCCUCUCUAUGUAUUCUUUUCUUCUUUUCUCUACUUUACAACACAUUAUCAGCACGACUCUAUCUUUGAGUUGAUAACGACCAAACCCUAAAUGCCAAAAACCCUAAAAUUUUCAGAUUUUUUUCUUUCCAUCGCUAGCUAUAGAUCGACAAGCUAGCACAUGGUUCUUCAUAUUGAUUAAGAUUCGAUGAUGGUCAAAGAGUAGUUGGAGCACCCUCAAUUGGUUUUUGCCCAACUCAUGAUCUAUGAAUCAAAGUUUUGCAUGUGUAUUUAUCCACGGUAUAUACAUCUUUCUGCUAUACAAUUUCUUCUUCUCAAAAUUAUGACACUGUAUUCAAUUACCCAUUGAUAUAUUCAUUCGUCAUGUAUAUGAAGUUCUUUGUUUGCUUUGUGUCUCAUCGCACCUCUCAUAAGCAUGAGUUUGGUAUUCAAUGGCAUUGGCAAACUUAUUAGAUGCCAUACGUUAAUUUCCUUACAUAUAUGCUUUCAGCUAUUGUUUUCAUCAUACUUAUCAUGUGGAUCUCAAAACUUGAAUAGUUAUAUAGUGAACAAUAUGACAAUACAUAUGGAUAGAUGUACUAUUGCAUAUUCCUUUUUCUGUAUCCGUGAGUAACAACACAACGGCUUCAUUCCUUUAUUUUUUAUGGUCUCUUUAGCGUGAUUGUGAUGCUAAUAUCGACUUUUGAUUUCAUGUUUGUAUGUAUCAAUUUGACCCAUUUGGAUUUAAAAUAUGUUUCAAUUUUAUUAUUUGAGAGUAAACUCAUGGUUACACACUUACACCUAGUUGUGAAUUGUGUGAUCAUAGAUCGAGACCUGAAGUCUUUUGAUCGAACUAUGGAGGACCUGAAGUUCCUCAAAGAGUAAUAUAAUGAAAUUACGAUAUGAAGAUUCUCAAAGCUUCUGCAAUUAAGGAGGGCCAAAAGUCCCUUAAAGUCAUAUAUAAUAUGACGGAACCACAUCUUGUGAUCCCUAGUUAUAUGAGGGCCCGAAGUUCCUCGCCUUAUAUGAUAUUACGUUUUUGUGUAACUAGAGGAGAUCCGAAUAUCAAGAUUAUCAUAUCUGUGAAGUUAACUAGACCAGAAGUUCUGUGUGUUUUCUUUAUUCAUGAAACUAGAAGUUUCCAAUGUAAAAUUUAUUUAUUUUUCGCUCUUUACAGUUUUCUUAUUUUGUUAUGUAAUCUCAUUACUGUACUUAUUGUUUAAAUUUUAUUGUUCAUACGGGCCAACAGCCUUAUAUCUCGAACGUAUGAAGUUUCACUUGGGUUACUCGAGCCUGUAGUUUCGAGCACUUGAAUUAUUUGAACCCGAAGUUUGACAUACGAAAUCUGAGAAUUUAUCAUUCUAACAUUAUAAAUUCGAACAUGAAGUUUCGAUUUCACAUAUAAUUGAUUGCUCCAAAAGAGCAUCCUCUUUGAAUUAAGUGUCUUCAAUGCGGUUCAAAAUCGAUUAAUAUAUGAUAUAGAUUGUGCCAAAUUUUACUGUGAAGUAAGACACAUAAUAUCAUGAACCAGAAGUUCAUUGAACCAAAUACAUUAUUUGGCAUGACAAGUCAUGUCAUAUUUUACUUAUAGUGUUGCCUGGAAUCAAUAAUAAGUUUUGAUGACCACUAGCUCUACUCAUAGCUGAUCGUUUAUUUGACACUUUAAUGAGACAAUCCUCCUGUCAUGAGGGAGAGAGAGAGAUUGUUCCUGAAGAACGAUGUAGAGUGGUGUGAGUUGUCUAUCCACUGUCUCAUAUUGGUUUUGAGAAAUAUCUCAGCAAAUGAGUUGAUAAAAGAUUAUAUGCUAGAUUCACUGUUUUCUACUUGGAUUAAAGUCUAUAAGACUAUCCAUAUUAACUCAAAUAGUC